rnacentral:rRNA from 1 species
AUUGAACGCUGGCGGCAUGCCUUACACAUGCAAGUCGAACGGCAGCGGGGGAGAAGCUUGCUUUUCCUGCCGGCGAGUGGCGAACGGGUGAGUAAUACAUCGGAACGUGCCCUGUAGUGGGGGAUAACUAGUCGAAAGAUUAGCUAAUACCGCAUACGACCUGAGGGUGAAAGUGGGGGACCUUCGGGCCUCACGCUAUUCGAGCGGCCGACGUCUGAUUAGCUAGUAGGUGAGGUAAAGGCUCACCUAGGCGACGAUCAGUAGCGGGUCUGAGAGGAUGAUCCGCCACACUGGGACUGAGACACGGCCCAGACUCCUACGGGAGGCAGCAGUGGGGAAUUUUGGACAAUGGGCGAAAGCCUGAUCCAGCCAUGCCGCGUGUCUGAAGGAGGCCUUCGGGUUGUAAAGGACUUUUGUCAGGGAGGAAAUCCCUAGUGCUAAUAACACUGGGGGAUGACAGUACCUGAAGAAUAAGCACCGGCUAACUACGUGCCAGCCGCCGCCGUAA